rnacentral:lncRNA from 1 species
GGUAACAAUAAAUAAAUUAAAGCAAUAAAAGAACACAACGAAUGUUGACGGAGAAACCCCAACUGGGUAAAAACUCCGGGCUCAAGCCAGUAGAGAUCCACUAUUUGUAGAAGGUAACUUACAGUACGUCAGAACAAUUGAUCCCCUCAAUUUUCUAACCUCCUUACUGUUUGAGAACAAGACUCUCCUGGAUCUAGCAGAUUUGUGCUACCAUCCCAGCCUUGUGUGACUUCUACUUCCCGUGAAUCGUCAAGCACUCCCACUCUUCAAGCCAGUUCUUCCCGGAUCUUCAAUCUGAGGAUCUUCUGGAAGUUUUAUAGGAUUUAGAGAAGGUGGUGUUUUGGUGUUUCAAGGUGUGAUGUUUUUCUGCAAAAGCCAAGGAUUUUUUAAUCUGAAGAGUUUAGAAGAUUGUUUUGCUUUUUGAACCUUGGUGUGAAAGAUAUAAAGGAUUAAUCUCCAAGGAUUUUAGAGUGAAGCAAUAAUAUGGCUUCAAUGUGUAUUUUCUCCAUAAUCAACUCGAAGGAGACGAAUGGUAUUUAUAUGGCUCAACAUUUGGUCUUGUGGCG